GCGGAUAUGGUGUAGUGAAAGCAUAUAAGCCUUCCAAGCUUCAGGCACGAGUUUGAACCUCGUUAUCCGCU
rfam:Phormidium ambiguum IAM M-71 NIES-2119_Scaffold_3, whole genome shotgun sequence.